GACGAAGGGGGCGAGCGUUGUUCGGAAUCACUGGGCGUAAAGGGCGCGUAGGCGGCCAUCUAAGUCAGACGUGAAAUCCCCCGGCUUAACCUGGGAACUGCGUCUGAUACUGGAAGGCUUGAGUAUGGGAGAGGGAUGUAGAAUUCCAGGUGUAGCGGUGAAAUGCGUAGAUAUCUGGAGGAAUACCGGUGGCGAAGGCGGCAUCCUGGACCAUUACUGACGCUGAGGCGCGAAAGCUAGGGGAGCAAACGGG
rnacentral:rRNA from 1 species